rnacentral:rRNA from 1 species
GUGGGGAAUAUUGGACAAUGGGCGAAAGCCUGAUCCAGCCAUGCCGCGUGUGUGAAGAAGGUCUUCGGAUUGUAAAGCACUUUAAGUUGGGAGGAAGGGCAGUAAGUUAAUACCUUGCUGUUUUGACGUUACCGACAGAAUAAGCACCGGCUAACUUCGUGCCAGCAGCCGCGGUAAUACGAAGGGUGCAAGCGUUAAUCGGAAUUACUGGGCGUAAAGCGCGCGUAGGUGGUUCAGCAAGUUGAAGGUGAAAUCCCCGGGCUCAACCUGGGAACUGCCGCCAACACUACUGAGCUAGAGGACGGUAGAGGGUAGUGGAAUUUCCUGUGUAGCGGUGAAAUGCGUAGAUAUAGGAAGGAACACCAGUAGCGAAGGCGACUACCUGGACUGAUACUGACACUGAGGCGCGAAAGCGUGGGGAGCAAACAGGAUUAGAAACCCCGGUAGUCC